AUCCAAGAAGGCAGCAGGCGCGCAAAUUACCCAAUCCUGACACAGGGAGGUAGUGACAAUAAAUAACAAUACAGGGCUCUUACGAGUCUUGUAAUUGGAAUGAGUACAAUUUAAAUCCCUUAACGAGGAACAAUUGGAGGGCAAGUCUGGUGCCAGCAGCCGCGGUAAUUCCAGCUCCAAUAGCGUAUAUUAAAGUUGUUGCAGUUAAAAAGCUCGUAGUUGAAUUUUGGACCUGGCUGGGUGGUCUUGCCGCAAGGUAAGCACUGCUCUGGUUGGGUCUUUCUUUCUGGGUCCCUCCGGUGUUCUUAAUUGAGUGCCGGAGGUAAUUCAGGACUUUUACUUUGAAAAAAUUAGAGUGUUUAAAGCAGGCUUACGCUUGAAUACAUUAGCAUGGAAUAAUAGAAUAGGACUUUGGUCUUAUUUUGUUGGUUUCUAGGACCGAAGUAAUGAUUAAUAGGGACAGUUGGGGGCAUUAGUAUUUAAUUGUCAGAGGUGAAAUUCUUGGAUUUAUUAAAGACUAACUUCUGCGAAAGCAUUUGCCAAGGAUGUUUUCAUUAAUCAAGAACGAAAGUUAGGGGAUCGAAGACGAUCAGAUACCGUCGUAGUCUUAACCAUAAACUAUGCCGACUAGGGAUCGGACAACGUUAUUUUAUUGACUUGUUCGGCACCUUAUGAGAAAUCAAAGUUUUUGGGUUCCGGGGGGAGUAUGGUCGCAAGGCUGAAA
rnacentral:rRNA from 1 species